rnacentral:tRNA from 1 species
AUUUUAUUAGUAUAAGAGUAUAUUUGUUUUCCAAACAAAAGGUUUAAUAUAAUUAAAUAAAAUA